AGCUGCUGGACACGGCACAAGAUAUCCGUCGAUUCUUGUGCGUGUGACAGCGGCUAU
rnacentral:pre_miRNA from 1 species